AUGCGUGGUGGAGCUGUGGCAGCACUCUGUCGAGACGAGAAUGGCAUCUACCUGGGUUCCUCGGCGGUGGUCUACGGGGGCCUCAUUAACCCCAUGAUCUUAGAAAAUUUUGCUUGCAGAGAGGGACUAGCUUUGGCAGAUGAUCUUGAUGCUCAUGACGUGGUGAUGGCUUCUGAUUGUGAGGGAGUAGUCAACGACAUCAACAGGGGAACAAGUGGUCCGAAUUUAGCUAUCACACAUGAAAUAACAGCUCGCAGCUCUAGUUUUUCUUCUUGCAAGUUUAUUUUUGAACGUAGAAACUUCAAUUUUGAGGCUCACAAUCUCGCAAAGUAUGCAUGUAAUCUAGGCAUAGGAAGACAUGUGUGGUUGGGCAAUCCUCAUGACACAACUAUUGUACCUAUAAACAUUACUCUGAAUCAAUAA
rnacentral:rRNA from 1 species